AUUGCUGCUCUAGCAAGGUUUAAAUGGGUGUGAAAAUGAAGUCUAAAUGGAUCUCGCCGUUUCUCAAACCACUGUUCUUCAGAUCGUCCUUAUGCUGACGUUGCACACCUCAAUCCUUCCAGAUCCAAAGGCAGAACGAAGACCUGGUUAACUCACCGGAUCCCACCUGCUGUCCCUGGAGCGACUCCCAAACCCGCCCACUUCUGACUUGGGAAUGAGGAGCAAAGGACAAUUUCAGUUCCAUCUCGUCUGCCUGGAUGUAGCAAGAAAUCUGCUUUCGCUCACCUCGGCAGGACUCAGCUGCUGAUCUCCCACAUUUCUCUCCCAUCUUUCCUUCGGAAGCCCUGGAUGGGGGACAUAGCACUCCUUCCUUCCAUUAUUCCACAUCACACCCACCCUGCGAGGUAGGCGAACACAUUAUGGAAACCCAGCCAAAGUUUGGUUCCUAGAAGCAAGGAUACCCACCUGGAAAUGGCUACUCAGAGAUCUUGAAAUUCAGCAAAUAAUUGCAAAAUCAGGUUGGAUGUCCAUCAUGUUUAUCUUCCAUAAGCUGCAAGCCAAACGGCCCCCCCCCCCCGUGAUGUUCAGUUUUCCAGAACUUUGGAAUUUGAGGACAAACAUGGGGACUCACCCCUCCCUUCCUGUUUUCCGUCUCCUGUCCUAGUCCAGCCCUUCAAUGAAGUUUGUUACCCGGUAGUUUGUGAUGAUAAGAAUAUGACCAUUCGGGUAUCUACAAGGAAGCGGAUGACCUUUUUCGGUUUAUGGCAGAAGGAAUGCUGGCUUGUUCACCUAUGUGGGUCAAUCAAUCACCUGCUUUUUAACUCAUGGGUUAAUUAGUCACUUGCCUUGAGGCGAAGGGCUAGGAGUUUUUGAGAGGUUAAAAAAAAUGCAAGGAAGAAUAGGAUUAAGGCCCAUCUUUGACUCAUUCAGCAUCCUGCAUUUGCGGUCUUCUGAUGGGGGUCCAGGGCUGGACCCCUGUGGCCCUUUUUUGGCACCAACAUCCAGAAAUGAACCAUCUUUGAUAUGGGUGUUCUACACAGUCUCUAUUGCAGUGUUGCUCAACCUUGGCAACUUUAAGAUAUGUGGACUUCAACUCCCAGAAUUCCCCAGCCAGCAUGAGUUGAAGUCCACAUAUCUUAAAGUUGCCAAGGUUGAGCAACACAGCUCUAUUGCUUGGUUUCUCCUAAUUCAUUAUGUUUUUAAUAGUUCCAAAGCUGGUUUUCGAUUUGUAAGUCGGAUGGCUGGUUUGCAAGACUAUGUUCUGCUUUUUCAAAAAAUCCACAUGCUGCCAGAAAUUUUGGUUUGGGGGCUAGACAUUGUAAGAGGAGAGCUGCGCUGGCCUAUGCUUGCAAAAAAUCAGUCCUUUCCCCCACUCACAAUUUUCUUAAAAGGCAGAAGCUUUUGCAAGCAGCUGCAGAUCUAUUGAAUUUGAUGAAGCUCGCACAAGCCUUUUAAUAAAAUGUGCAACUCGGAGAAAUACUACUGGGGUCUUUCUGAUCUGGGGGGUUGCUGGAUUAGAAGGCGCCCUUCUCUUCCCAUGGUGGAUUUAAAAAAAAAAGUUUUUUUCUGUUGACUUCAUUUUUCUUUUUGCCU